UGGGGAAUUUUGGACAAUGGGCGCAAGCCUGAUCCAGCUAUUCCGCGUGUGGGAUGACGGCCCCUCGGGGUUUGUAAAACCACUUUAGUAGAGAACGAAAAGGAGCUAUCGAAUAAAUAGCUCUGCUGACGGUACUCUAAGAAUAAGCACCGGCUAACUACGUGCC
rnacentral:rRNA from 1 species